ACGGAGGGUGCAAGCGUUAAUCGGAAUUACUGGGCGUAAAGCGCACGCAGGCGGUUUGUUAAGUCAGAUGUGAAAUCCCCGGGCUCAACCUGGGAACUGCAUUUGAAACUGGCAAGCUUGAGUCUUGUAGAGGGGGGUAGAAUUCCAGGUGUAGCGGUGAAAUGCGUAGAGAUCUGGAGGAAUACCGGUGGCGAAGGCGGCCCCCUGGACAAAGACUGACGCUCAGGUGCGAAAGCGUGGGGAGCAAACAGGAUUA
rnacentral:rRNA from 1 species